rnacentral:lncRNA from 10 species
UUCCACUUUCCCCCUACUCCUGAAUGUCUAAAGAACUCUCAAUGCAUAUUAGCCAUCACCAUGGUUGAGACCCAGACCUCUGCAGAGACAAUCUUGAUCCUCUGGCUCCUGCUUCACAUUGCCCAUUCACCCUCAGCACUGAAAUCCUUACCUCAAGCGCUGGGAAUUCAGGCCAUGGAAGAUUAGGAGGCUCACAGCAGGAGCAAGUUAUCCUUCAAGAUUCAGGACAAAUGUCACUUCCUCAGUGAAGCCUUCUCUCCCUCCUUGGUGUCUCCAUAAUACUCUGCUUAGACUUCACAUAUAUCAUGUGUUUUCCUACUAGAUUCUGAACUCCCCGAGAGCGGCAACCCAUAUCUUAACUCUCUUUGCAUCAACAGAGCCCAAUACAAUGCCUGGCACAGAGUAAGCCUCAAAUAUGUCUAUGAUAUAAAUUUUCUAAUAAAA